CUACGGGGGGCUGCAGUGAGGAAUAUUGCGCAAUGGGGGAAACCCUGACGCAGCGACGCCGCGUGGAUGAUGAAGGUCUUCGGAUCGUAAAAUCCUGUCAGAUGGGAAGAAAUGUAUAUAUGUUAAUAUCAUGUAUAUUUGACGGUACCAUCAAAGGAAGCACCGGCUAACUCCGUGCCAGCAGCCGCGGUAAUACGGAGGGUGCAAGCGUUGUUCGGAAUUACUGGGCGUAAAGCGCGCGUAGGCGGCUUGUUAAGUCAGAUGUGAAAGCCCAUGGCUCAACCAUGGACGUGCAUUUGAUACUGGCAAGCUUGAGUACUGGAGGGGAUAGUGGAAUUCCCGGUGUAGAGGUGAAAUUCGUAGAUAUCGGGAGGAAUACCGGUGGCGAAGGCGACUAUCUGGCCAGAUACUGACGCUGAGGUGCGAAAGCGUGGGGAGCAAACAGGAUUAGAUACCCCAGUAGUC
rnacentral:rRNA from 1 species